rnacentral:rRNA from 1 species
AGAGUUUGAUCAUGGCUCAGGACGAACGCUGGCGGCGUGCCUAACACAUGCAAGUGGAGCGACGAACCAGGCUUCGGCCUGGGGCAAAGCCGCGAACGGGUGAGUAACACGUGGGUAACCUGCCCUGAUGAUUGGGACAACCCGAGGAAACUCGGGCUAAUACCGAAUGUGCCCUCCGGCCAUAAGGCCGCUGGGGAAAGGAAGCUUCGGCCUCCGCAUCGGGAUGGGCCCGCGGCCCAUUAGCUUGUUGGUGAGGUAACGGCUCACCAAGGCGACGAUGGGUAGCUGGUCUGAGAGGACGAUCAGCCACACUGGGACUGAGACACGGCCCAGACUCCUACGGGAGGCAGCAGUGGGGAAUCUUGCGCAAUGCGCGAAAGCGUGACGCAGCAACGCCGCGUGGGGGAAGAAGGCCUUCGGGUUGUAAACCCCUUUCAGUUGGGACGAAGCUUCGCCGGUGAAUAGCCGGUUGGAGUGACGGUACCUUCAGAAGAAGCCCCGGCUAACUACGUGCCAGCAGCCGCGGUAAUACGUAGGGGGCAAGCGUUGUCCGGAAUCAUUGGGCGUAAAGAGCGUGUAGGUGGCUCGGUAAGUCCGCUGUGAAAGUCCAGGGCUCAACCCUGGAAAGCCGGUGGAAACUGUCGAGCUCGAGUCCGGAAGAGGCGAGUGGAAUUCCUGGUGUAGCGGUGAAAUGCGCAGAUAUCAGGAGGAACACCAAUGGCGAAGGCAGCUCGCUGGGACGGUACUGACACUGAGACGCGAAAGCGUGGGGAGCAAACAGGAUUAGAUACCCUAGUAGUCC